rnacentral:rRNA from 1 species
UACGGGGGGGGGUAAGCGUUGUUCGGAAUUACUGGGCGUAAAGGGCUCGUAGGCGGCCAACUAAGUCAUACGUGAAAUCCCUCAGCUUAACUGGGGAACUGCGUGUGAUACUGGAUGGCUUGGAUUUGGGAGAGGGAUGCGGAAUUCCAGGUGUAGCGGUGAAAUGCGUAGAUAUCUGGAGGAAUACCGGUGGCGAAGGCGGCAUCCUGGACCAUUACUGACGCUGAGGCGCGAAAGCUAGGGGAGCAAACGGGG